UGGGGAGUGUCCAGCCACUGAGUCACUGUUAUACUGCUAUGAAUCACAUUCUAUUGGCACCAGACUCAUUCAUCAGAUCCUGCUGCCCUAUCACGACUCAGUACCGCUCAAUCGGUCAGUGGUCUUCUAGCUUUGCUGGGCUGUGCAGUACAGAUCUUACAUUAAAUGCCAUGUGUCACACCCUCAUAGAUGGUUUCUGGAGUGAGAAAUCACAGAAUGUUAGACCUGAAGAGACCAUGUGGACAAAGAAUUGUCGUGAUGAAUCUGAGCAGGACUCCUGCAGACCAGGACACUGCUGCAUGAGAGGCCUCUAGCAAGUUCCAUCACUGCUUAUCAGGAUUGCUUUCAUCCUCUCAGGGAGGGCGACAGAUAGUUAAAGAAGAACCAGGAAAGGCUGCAUCAUGCCCAGGCUCUUCUGGAAGGUGCUUCAUGAAACUUGCAAGGAUGUUUUCCCCAUCUUUGAGGGGUUCAAAAUCAUCAUUGGAAGUAAAGCAUGCUCUCGCACACCUGGCUCAUGGUGUCCAGAUGAUGCGGCUAUUGUAGGCAGAUCCUUGGGCUCUACUUUGAGGAGCAAGGUCCUACGUGAGCACCUUGCAAGACAUGCAGGGCUGUGAGGUGGUAGAAGCAAUGGAAGGGGAAAUGAGAUCAGAUACAUACUGAACUCAGCACUCAACCGCCCUGAACUUUGGAUUCCUCACAGAGCUGCUGUGAGAAUAGCCAAUGCUCUCAGUAAAAAGACGUGCCAUGACAUCAACAUAGAAGAUUCUCGUGAAGUGGAGUUUACACCUUUCCUCCUAAGAUGUUAAGAUCAUUUCACUGGACCUUUAGUGCUAACAUGUUACAUGCAUGUGAUAAUCAGAUGUUCUUAUUUGUAUCAUCUUGCAAUGUUUCUUUGGGACAGUUUUUUUUUUGUUUGUUUUUUUUUUUAAAGGUUAUUAGUCUGGUCUUCCCUGCUUUUGGUGCUUGGUUCUACUUACUUGUAGGCUCCUUUCACUCCCUUUCUCAACCCCCAAGUCGAAAAUCUGGUAAAGAUCCCUUAGUGGAUAUAAUUUAGGGAAAUGGAGCUAAAUCUUAGCAGAACUGCUUUUUAAUGCCACACAACAGCUAUAAUUACCAUUGGGGAAGCAGAAACAUUAUGGAAUGUUACAAAAUUCAUUUGAUUUGCAAAAAGACCUAGUGCAAUUCAGCCUGAGUGGCUAUUAACGAGUUAUUAGGGAAGACAGGAGAUAGAACAAUAAAUAAUUUUCAUGCUUUAAGUUAAAUGUUUCAACCCUCAUGACACAUUUAAUUCCUGACUUUGGGAAGUAUUAUUGUACAGUGAUGUAGCUCAUUUAAUCCAGUAAGAAGAACGGAGCCUAGCAGCUAACCAGGGGUGGCAGAGGGGUGAAACGCACAUAGGCUUAAGGCCUUCUCAAACAAUGAAAUGGAGAUCAUAUUACUGGAAGGCCCUUCGAAUUUUUCAGAAAGCAUCUCUAGAUUAAUUAAUCUCUAUAUUAAUCAGAAUUAAUGGAUAAGAAAAUCCAUGUUUUCUGGAAACAUCCUUGAAGAUAGGUAGAAUUUAACUUCAGUGAUUACCCAGCUCUGUCUCCUUCUGACUCUUCUGCCUAAGCAGAGAGUCCUAAAAAUCCCCUCAAUAGGGAAAAUAUCCCAUUCUUGGAUAAAUCUGGGGAGAUGCAUAAGGCAAAAACAUGCAGAGAGAAGCAGUAAUAUUGAUUCACUACAGAGCUGUGCAGAGCAGCUCACUUUCCAACAAGUCCUGUGCUUUUACAUUUCUUUGCAAUCAGAGGACAGUAAAGAAAGAAUUAUUGGUCUGUGGAGAGUGGGGCUUAGUGUAGGCCAAUUUUGUUGGAGCAAGUUUUAAAAAGGGCCCUACUCACCGUGCGUUGGCUUAACACUUCUGUUUCUUUGUUGUUGCUGUUAUUAUUAUUAUUACUGUUACUAUUAUUUUUGUCCCAGAUGGAAUAGAAAUUGUCCCAAGAAUUACCAAACAGCCAGUUGCAAUUGCCAUGCUCAUCUUUGCCCUACACCUACAUUUAGCUUAGGCACCACAUAAACGCUGUCAGUUUAUUACUUAUUUCAUACUGACAGUGUCUGAUUUGCGUUGAUAGUCUACUUUCAGGAUAUGUCUUCUUAAUCUUCUCUCCUUAUUAUGAUAUACUUUUUCAAAAAGAACUUAAAAAAAAUCUUGAAAGUUAUCCGAUGCUAUAAUACCAAUUUCUUUAACAAUAACAAAGCUAAUAGAAUAAAAGCCAUCAGGUGUGGGUAUUUUA